CGCCGUUUGAAGUCACGUCCGGUAGUACCUGCCCAGUGCGUUGAGGCGUAAAUGGCGGCUGUAACCUGACGGUCUGAAGGUAGCGAAAUUGCUUGCCCUUUGAUUGAGGGAGUGCAUGAAGGUUUGACGAGGGCUCUACUGUCUCUUCCCAAAAGAGGUUGAAAUUUAGUUGGAGGUGCAGACGCCUUCGUUGUUAAGUCAGACAAGAAGACCCCGUGCAACUUUGAAGAUGGGUAGUGGUAUUUGAAUCCCUCUGAUUUUUAGGUGGGGCGCCAGGGGAGUAAAUAAAACCUUCUCUCCUAGUCUAUACACGACAUGUGAUGAGCCAAAAGUGUUUGAUCAUAGGAGAAGUUACGCCGGGGAUAACAGAGUAAUCCUGCAGCCGAGCUCGUAUUAGCUGCGGGGAUUGCCACCUCGAUGUUGAAUUAGGGAUCGUAUCUCUUUAGGUUGCAGCAGCUGUUGAAGUGGGUCUGUUCGACCUUUGAAACCCUACG
rnacentral:rRNA from 1 species